GUUUUUGUUUUCAUUUUAAUGCUUGAUAUCCAACAAAAGCAUCAUUUUUACCAAAAUCUUUUUCAUAUCAAUUUGGGCCUAUUUACUUUUGUGUAGAAAUUAGAAGUUACCAUUUGGUGAGAUUGCAAAGAAUUUCAUCAAAGCUAUACUUGUGGAAUGUGUAACUAAAAGGAAAGGUGCCAAAGUGGAGAUGGGGAAAGGUUACUAGAGUGUGUGGACGCCAAAGAAGGUUGUUUUUGUGUGGCACCUGGGUAACCAGAUUCUUUAAAAAUUCCAUGAGCAUAGAGAAUUAGUUUGCCUCAAAGUCGACAUAGUUUGACAUCUACAAUUUGCUAAACCCUCUCUAUAAUGUUAUUCACUUUUCUUAUCAACUCUCACAAAACUUUCCACAAAAUAUUUCGAACAUUAACCACUUAGUGAAAGUAUUUAAUGAAGGAUAUCCAAGAAUCGUCAUCUUCUCAUCGGAUUUUCAACAUUGAAUCAAGAUCAAAGAUCCGCCUAUAUAUCUUGAAGAUCCGACCAUAAAUCUUGAAGGUAUGUUGUUUUACUUUGUUGUUUAUGUAGUAUACAUCUUUAAUCUAAGAGAUUGAACAUGUUUAUUUUUUUCUUAAACCAAAAUCUACAUCAGAUGUUUUUUGUUGAUUUUUGUUAUGUAUAAAAUCAAGUUUCCGGGUUUUUCUUAAUCAUCUAUUCCACAUUUAUCGCAGUUAAUGAUUUUGGUUGUUGUAUUUUUUCAUGUGAUUCCUUACAUCCGUUAUAACAAUCUGAAUCCCACCAUUCGUCAAGCAACAGAGUUAUAGAUAUUUAUUUCUGAACCGAGUCUGUCCUCCAUAGUUUUUUCUGAUGUGAGUAUUUCUGAUUCGAUAUUUUGUUCGAAUUAUGAUAGUUACUUAUGUAUUUUUUUCAAUACGAAUGUUAGUUUUAUAUAUUUUUAUUAAAAAAUACAACAAUUUAAUAUAUCUUACACACGAUAAAACAUAACAGUCAAAUUACCAAAUAAGUUGAUGUUUGAAUUUGUAUGUUGACUUAUUUCUAGAUGUAUAUCUUAUAUUUUUAUUAACUUAUUAUUAAUUUUAGGAAACUUAUAAAUAUUUAUAAUAAUUAACAAAACAAUGAUAAUUUAUUUAUGUUAAAUUAUUUGGUCGAUUUUGUCUAUUCGUAAUUUCCAAAGUUUUGUAAAGUAAUAUUUCCAUUUAUAAUGCAAUAACAUAUCAAAGUUAUUUUAGAUAAAUUUGUUUCUUUAUUAAUUGACAAUCAUAUUUAAGUAAAAUGGAAACUACAAUAGAAUGACAAAUAAUUUUGAUGUAGAUAAUUUAUUUUUUUAUCAAAAUAUAUAUAAUAUUUUUUUUAUUAUAUGGUAUUACACUUUUAAUUAAUUAUUUAACGAUCAUUUAUUGAGUACUAAUAAAAAAAAUCCUUAUUUUUAUUGUCACAGUUUUCUAUUUUGAAAUUUAGGUUUUGUUUUGAUCAAAGUUGGGUUAUGCAGGUAAGUGUUCAAUCUCAUGUUAAUUUGAAAACGCCUCAAUCUUAAGCUUCAAGAUCUCGAGUAAAUGUGAUGUUUAUUUAUGUUACUUAAUAACAGGUAAAUGGGGGAUAUCUACAAAUUUUGAUGGUACACGACUUUUCAUUAACGACAAUUUUGAUCAGAUGCUGACAUUCAAGGAAAAUUUUCUAUUUGAAAUUGAGGUUUUGUUUUGAUCAAAGUUGGGUUUUGCAGGUAAAUGGGGGGUAUCUACAAAUUUUGAUGGUACACGGCUUUUCAUUAACGACAAUUUUGAUCAGAUGCUGACAUUCAAGGAAAAAAUCUUAAUACAAUGUUGGGUCGAAGAUGCUGGAGAAUGAACUUAAGCGUAAUUUGGAUGCCGUUUAUGAUGUGGAUUUAUGUUCUUCUCAGUCUUCUACUAAACCGCCUAAAGGUGAUUGUGAGAACAAUGAAGGUUUGAAUGUGAAGGUGGGUCUUUUGAAUCCAAAGCUGGAAAAGUAGUCUCAGAAUCUAAUAGUCAUCUGAGUUUCUUCAAACAGUUUUCAAUGUUUUUUUUUUCGUUCAAUCGUAUUCAGAACAUUUAUGUCAGUACUUGAUGUUGCUUUUUACUCAAUAUUUGUUGCGGUUUAUCUUGAUUUUCGUUUAUUAUUGUUAUAUCAAUAAGAGAUGAUAUUAUUAAUUA